CCUACGGGAGGCUGCAGUGGGGAAUAUUGGACAAUGGGCGAAAGCCUGAUCCAGCCAUGCCGCGUGUGUGAAGAAGGCCUUCGGGUUGUAAAGCACUUUCAGUGGGGAAGAAAGCCUUGUGGCUAAUACCCUCGAGGAAGGACAUCACCCACAGAAGAAGCACCGGCUAACUCCGUGCCAGCAGCCGCGGUAAUACGGAGGGUGCGAGCGUUAAUCGGAAUUACUGGGCGUAAAGCGCGCGUAGGCGGUCUGAUAAGCCGGUUGUGAAAGCCCCGGGCUCAACCUGGGAACGGCAUCCGGAACUGUCAGGCUAGAGUGCGGGAGAGGAAGGUAGAAUUCCCGGUGUAGCGGUGAAAUGCGUAGAGAUCGGGAGGAAUACCAGUGGCGAAGGCGGCCUUCUGGACUGACACUGACGCUGAGGUGCGAAAGCGUGGGUAGCAAACAGGAUUAGAUACCCUAGUAGUC
rnacentral:rRNA from 1 species